rnacentral:rRNA from 1 species
GAUGAACGCUGGCGGCGUGCCUAAUACAUGCAAGUCGAGCGAACGGACGAGAAGCUUGCUUCUCUGAUGUUAGCGGCGGACGGGUGAGUAACACGUGGAUAACCUACCUAUAAGACUGGGAUAACUUCGGGAAACCGGAGCUAAUACCGGAUAAUAUUUUGAACCGCAUGGUUCAAAAGUUAAAGACGGUCUUGCUGUCACUUAUAGAUGGAUCCGCGCUGGAUUAGCUAGUUGGUAAGGUAACGGCUUACCAAGGCAACGAUGCAUAGCCGACCUGAGAGGGUGAUCGGCCACACUGGAACUGAGACACGGUCCAGACUCCUACGGGAGGCAGCAGUAGGGAAUCUUCCGCAAUGGGCGAAAGCCUGACGGAGCAACGCCGCGUGAGUGAUGAAGGUCUUCGGAUCGUAAAACUCUGCUAUUAGGGAAGAACAUAUGUGUAAGUAACUGUGCACAUCAUGACGGUACCUAAUCAGAAAGCCACGGCUAACUACGUG